GCAUAGCAACGUGGGUAAAGAGCAACAAAAUACUUAAUGAGAAAUUUGUUGAGAUCAGUUUUGCUCGUGACCGAUUCGAGUCUUGUCACAGGUUAGGUGUUUUUUGUCCGUCUGGUCUUGUUAUGCCUACGUGCUGAAAACAACGCAAACUCUUGCAGGUGGCUGCAUCAUUGAGAGGAAAAAGCCACAAGCAGUUUGAUGAUGUGAUUAACACACCCCAAGCGCCUUUUGCAACCGGUGCUCCACAUCACCCAUUUGGACGACUUCCAAAAUCAGGUUUUCUUGUUAGCUAAUUUACGAAGCCAGUCGCUUAAGUGAUGAUUACAAGGUAAUUUUUUUAAGUUUCCUUGAAUGACCUUGCAAUUUCAAGUCUUUCAUUAAAAAUAUGCAUCAUUUUCAACUUGCUUUUCAUUAAGGAUGAUCUAGAGCUGUCUAGAAUAAACUAAUAGUAACAAAAUGAAAAAAAUUCAUUUCCCCAACAUGUAUCCAAAUUGUAAAUCAAUAGAAAUAUAAAGAUUGCUUAAAUAAAAUACUAAUUUCUCGAUUGUGAAUACAAUGUAUAGUGUUGCGCUGAUUUUGUGAUUUUGUAUGCGAGUGAGAAGUGAAAAUAAAUGGCAUCUCUGUUUAUUGUGGUUCGGCGAUUAGGGAAUUCCUGAGCGCCGCACGAAUAAACUGUUGAUAUGUAAGCGAGCAUUCAUUCAACGUGCAACGUCAUAAUGCAAGCACAUUACCUUGCGACGAGCACUUGAAUUUGCAUCAUUUGCCAAGAGCCGCGUGAGUUGGCAACACGCACAGCAGACACACUCCUUUGGAAAAUUCUUACGCCUAAUCGCUUCUUGCAACUCCUUUUUUGAAUGCGGCUUUGUUAAAUUUUUUUCUCGUCCCUCACCGGCAGAAGAUAAAAUUGCGAGUAUGAGUCAACAUAUUUUCAAUGAAAUUAGUUUUCUUUUAAAAACGUCAAAAAUGCUUCUUAAAAAAAAUCAGCACAAAAUGCAGAUUUUGCAAGCUGAAAAGGAACUUAUUUUUUAAGUUUCAAUCAUCGGGAGUAAAUUGCACAAAAAAUGCGUAGCAAUUUAAGUUUAAAGAAUAAAAUCAACAUUAUCAAGUUUCGUUUUGUUAUUUAAAUUUUUGUGGUAACAAAAUC